rnacentral:tRNA from 4 species
GCCUCCGUAGCUCAAUCGGCAGAGCAGCUGACUCUUAAUCAGCGGGUUCUCGGUUCGAGUCCGAGCGGAGGCA